rnacentral:tRNA from 1 species
GCGGAAGUCGUAUAGUGGCUAUUACCUCAGCCUUCCAAGCUGAUGACGACAGUUCGAUUCUGUUCUUCCGCUCCA